rnacentral:rRNA from 1 species
UACGAAGGGGGCUAGCGUUGUUCGGAUUUACUGGGCGUAAAGCGCACGUAGGCGGAUCGUUAAGUCGGGGGUGAAAUCCUGGAGCUCAACUCCAGAACUGCCUUCGAUACUGGCGAUCUAGAGUCCGGAAGAGGUGAGUGGAACUCCUAGUGUAGAGGUGGAAUUCGUAGAUAUUAGGAAGAACACCAGUGGCGAAAGGCGGCUCACUGGUCCGGUACUGACGCUGAGGUGCGAAAGCGUGGGGAGCAAACAGG